rnacentral:ncRNA from 1 species
AAAGGUGAUGGGCAAACUUGCUGAAAAGCAAGGACGCAAAGGCAUGGGUCGUCGACUUCUACAAAGAAGUACCGAUCGCCAGCCUGCGAAG